CUCAUUGUUCCGAGUAAGGCCAUGACUGAAAGAAAUAAUAUAAAGUCAGAUACUAUAUAGUCAUCUCAACACAACUGUGUCAGUGAAAAUAAUGUAUUCUACCAAUAUAUAGAACAAAUUAAAAUUAGCAUACACAGUAGUAACAAACAAAGUGAUUUUGACCCACAAUACAUGCAUGCAUGGUUGUACGCACUCCGUUCAGAGUAAAGAUGCAACAUUCGAACCAAACUGAUGCAAAUACUGCAAUGAGUUAUAAACGAUACCUACUGUAUAUACAAUACAAGAGCAAUUGGCCUCUCCUACUGAGUUCAGAUUUUAUUCAGUUCAUAUUACUUAGUAUAUGUCAUUUCAUUAAUUAACCUCCUCUCGAAAAGAGAAUGUGAGUUCAUGCCAUCAGUUCCACAAUUACAACCUUAACUCGAAAAAGUACCAGCAAGUCAGCGACAAUAAAGAUUUGAGAAAUUGCAUUCAACGGUCGCCAGACAACCAUUACAAGAAAUGGCAAUUCUUUUGGGUCUUUGCUUGACACGAAGCUGUCUACAUCUUAACUUUCCUAGAUAAAUAGAAGGAACAUAUAAUUAGAAAUUAAUGUUGCAGAGUGAACUACAUUUAUUAUAUCCCUUAAUUCAGCCCCCGGUUUGGGUGUGCUCUAACAUAACACUUAUACA